CACUUACUCUAGCAAGAGAUUUUCUGAACUCAGUCUUACGAAUCGCAUAGGACUUCUACUUUUCUACCAAGGAUGAUAGAUUCCAUCUAGAUGCAUCCUACUUCAAAUAGCAAAUCUGAACCUAUAAUAAUCAACAUACAUAGCAAGGACCCAAAUGGCUAGGGACCAAGAGAACGUACAGUCAAACUAAGUGCCUCACCGC
rnacentral:lncRNA from 1 species